GCCCUAUGUGCUAUAAUGCUGAGCCAAGGACGCUCCGCCUUCUCUAUAGAAGCAGUCAACUGAGUUCUGAACGAAUUAGCUCCUUGGUAAUGGCUUAAUCUAUAGAUAGAAAGCCCUAUGAUGGGAAACUACCACGUUAGGUUUGGAGAGAGAUGGGACCGGUUAUAUAAUAGGGGAAGCAGAUGCAAGCUUUUUCUUUCAAUAGCCGGCCAAAUGACUACAGGAUCAUCGGUCUACUCUACCUCAAUUCACCAUUUCGAACCUUAUACAGAAGGUUUUUCCGUACCAGCUCCUUCUACCUAUACCGCAGUUGAAGCACCUAAAGGAGAAUUUGGUGUCUUUCUGGUCAGUAAUGGAAGCAAUGGUUGGCUAAUUUAUUCCUAUUUUGGGAUAUAGAUCUCGGUUUUGGGAGAUUUUGGAGAGGAAUUUCACCACAUCUGAAGCACGAAUCUUGAGGAAUAAAUUAGCCAACAUGUUGUGUCCUAUUAGCUACAUGUUACUUGUCGAGUACGACGUAUAGGCAUGGUGACGAGUAUCUAUACGUUGGUGUCAAGCAUGACCGUGAGUCUUAAAUCGAAUUGUUUUGUUCAUAAAUAAUAUUACGAAUGCUUAAGUUGAUGAUUCUUUGUAUUGGGAAAGGAUUAUGAUUUUUCCCAUGGAAAUUACUUAUGAUUGCGUAUUGGUGUUAGUUGAGGUAGUUAGAUGCUGGAAAAGGUUUGGUUAUAGUUGUUUCUCCUUUGCCGAGAUGUAUUUACUUAUACUGUCGAUUCCCUUAUUGGGAUAACAUCGUUUCUUCAUUGAUCCCUUGCAGGAACUCUAUUUAUGAAUUGGUAUUGAAUUGUAUAUGUGGAUUGGGCUACGUGAUGCAACAAUGAUAUAAAUGGAUCAGGUUGCACGCUGCAACAGUGAUAUAAAUGGAUCGGAUUGCACGCUGCAAUAAUGAUAUAGUUGGAUCGGGUUGCACGCCGCAACGGUGAUAUAAAUGGAUCAGGUUGCAUGCCAACAAUGAUAUAGUUGGAUCGGGUUGCAUGCCGCAACAAUGAUAUAGUUGUAUCGGGUUGCACGCCACAAUAGAGAUAAAUGAUAGGGAUCGGAUUGCACGCUGCAACAAUGUUCUUAUUUGUUUUGCUAUAAAUCCUAAAUUGUUCUCAUGCAUUUCUCGUAAUUACAGUUGCUAUUGAUAUUCACCGCAGUAUAUACCCCCUCCCAACUUUACUUUUUUUAUUUUUGUGUUAUUUUUUGCUGCAUAUUAUAUACUGCAUAGGUUUAUUUGGAGUCUGGUCCUAUCCUCGUCAGUACUUCACCGGGGUUAGACUAGGCAUUUACCAGCACAUGGGGUUAGUUGUGCUGAUACUACACUCUGCACUAUGCGCAGAUCUCGAAGCGGCAACUUUUGAACAGUAGCAUUGGGUGGCUGCCUUCAGUCCAUCUAGAGAUCCCGAGGUAGUCCUGAAGACGUUUGCAGGACCGUCGUUCUCUUCUAUCUUUAGUUGUAUUCUAUUUUCAUCUAUUUCUGAGAUAGACAGUAUUUUUCUUUCAGACAUUUGUAGGUAGUAUUCGUAGACAGUCCGUGAUAUUGUUACACCGGAUUCUGGGUAGAGAUGUAUGUUGAGUAGUUGUACUGGUUAUGGUUAUUUCUCAUAUUAUGUCUUCCGCUUGUUCUUAUUUAUCGUUAGUGAUUCACUAUUGAUGACAUGUUAUUUUAAAUUUUUUAACAAGGGGUAAAAAUGAGUUAGAAAUUCUACAAUGCCCGGCUUGCCUAGCUUCCACAAGUAGGCGCCAUCACGACUCCCAAGGAUAGGAAAUACGGUCCAUGACAAGCUGGUAUCAGAGCUCUAGGUUACAUAGGUCUCACAAUUCAAGGACAAGCUUAGUAUAGUUUGAGGGAUCAGUAUAGAGACGUCUGUAUUUAUCCCCCAGAGGCUAUAGAGUUAGGAACAUUAUUUCUUUUUUGUCAUGCGAUUUGGUUUCUCAAUGCUAAUUGAAUUCUUACUGUGUUCUGUCGCAGAUGGUGAGGACACACUCUUUCUCAUUAUGUGAUCAGCAACCCGAGCCCCCAACAACAGUUCCCAUGAGGUGCAGACGGUGAGGCCGAGGCUGUGCUAGAGGCCGAGAUAGGGCAGUGCUCAGCCCAGAGUAGUAGCACUAGUGGCGGAGCCUCAGGUUGACUUUGUUGAUGAGGUUCCGGCCCAGACAGUUCGAGUGUGCCCAGCUCAUGUCCUAGAGGAGUUUAUUGCUAUCCCGGUACUCCAGGAUGCUCUGGUCCGUCUAGUGGGCCUUAUGGAGAGUGUCACCCAGGCAGGCUUGCUUUCUGUAACGCUAGUUGUCUCUCAGGCUAGAGGAGGAGCCCAUAUUCUUGCUACUUUCACUCUGGAGUAGAUGGCUCCCUAGCUUCAGACUCCAGCAGCUCAACCAGUUAGAGUAGUUCAGCCGAGUGUGGUAGCUCAGACCAAUAAUGGAGCAGCUAUGUCUGCCGAUGCUUUGUGGAGAUUGGACAGGUUCACCAAGAUCUUUACUACUACCUUCAGCGGUGCAUCUUUGGAGGAUCCCUAGUAUUAUCUAGACAGGUGCCAUGAGGUUCUCAGGAACAUGGAGAUAAUAGAGACCAAUGCGUUCAAUUUUGCUGCUUUUUGCUUAUUUGGAUUUGCCAAGACUUGGUAGAGAGACUAUUGUUUGGGUAGCCCAUCCGGAUCACCAGCUUUGACUUAGGACCAAUUUACUCACAUAUUUCUGGAGAAUUUUCUCCCUAUCACUCAGAGAGAGGCCUAUCAGAGGCAAUUUGAGUGUCUCCAGCUGGAUUCUAUGAGAGUUACUCAGUAUAAGAUCAGAUUCAUCGACUUGGCCCAUCAUGCUCUUGUUAUACUUCUCAACGACAGAGAGACAGAGGGGGGGGAGAGAGAGAGAGAGAGAGAGAGAGAGAGAGAGGGGGUGAUGAGGUUCAUUGAGGCCCUUAACCAGCCUAAUCGACUUCAGAUGGCUAGGGAGAUAGGGAGUGAGAUUUCUUUUCAGGAGGCAGCCAAUAUGGCCAGAAGGGUGGAGAUGGUUCUGUCGCAGGGAGGUGGUCAUGAGCCGGACAAGAGGCCUCGUCAUUUAGGCCGAUUCAGUGGUGCCUCGUCUGGAAGCAGGGAUUCAUAUGGUAGGGGCCAUCUACCUAGGACCUUUCAGUCAGCACUUCAGGUUUCUCACGAUACUUCAAGUGGUCGUGGUUCUCAUAUGUAAUAUUCUGAUCAGUAGUCCUACAGUACACCACCAGCUCCUAUGAAUGCACCAUCGCUCCAUAGUUUUCAAGGUGGUCAUUUAGGUCACUAAGGUCAGUCUCAGUUUCCUCAGCCGCAACACUCAGGUGGAUGCUAUGAGUGUGGUGAGUAUGGUCAUAUCCGGAGGACUUGUCCGAGAUUAGUGGGUACUCAGUCGCAGUAGAAGGGUUCUCGUGCUAUGGUUCAGACACCAGGUGUUCCAUCGCCCAUUUCGCCAGUUAAGGGUGGGGUAGAGGUGCUAGAGGUAGAGGUAGAGGUGUUAGCAGUGGAGCUCAGACCGCUAGAUGAGGAGGCCAACCAGGUGUAGGCCGUCUUAGAGAUGUAGUCCAGGGUGGUGGAGCCCAGCCGUGAUGUUAUGCUCUUCCAGCCAGGCCUAAGGCUGAGGCUUCUGAUGCAGUUUCGUAUGUACUAUUCUGGUUUGUGGCAGAGAUGCUUCAGUUUUAUUUGAUCCAGGGUCUACCUACUCCUAUGUGUCAUCUUAUUUUACACCGUAUCUGGUCAUACCUAGUGAUUUUUGGGUGCCCCUUGUAUAUGUGUCUACAACGGUGGGUGAUUCUAUUAUAGUAGAUUGAGUCCAUCGUUCUUGUAUUGUGGUGAUUGAGGGUCUUGAGACUCGAGUAGAUUUGCUUCUUCUAGACAAGCUUGAUUUUGAUAUUAUAUUGGGUAUGGACUGGUUAUCACCUUAUCAUGCUAUCUUGGAUUGGCAUGCCAAGACUGUGACCUUAGCCUUGAAGGGUUUGCCUCAUUUAGAGUGGAUAGGGACUCCUGGUAUUUUACCCGUAGUGUUAUCUCGUAUAUGAAGGCUUGGUGUAUGGUUGAGAAGGGGUGUUUGGCCUAUUUGGCCUAUGUUUUUUAUUUUAGUGCUAAGGUCCUUUCUACUGAUUCUAUGCAUGUUGUUUGAGAGUUCCCUGAGGUGUUUCCUUCAGACCUGCCAGAUAUGCCACCCAACAGGGAUAUUUAUUUAUGCAUUAGUUUGGCUCUGGGAAAUUAGCCCAUCUAUAUCCUGGCGUAUCAUAUGGCCCCACCUGAGUUGAAAGAGUUCAAGGAGCAGUUGCAAUACUUGCUUGAAGAGGAUUUCAUUAGACCUAGUGUUUUACCUUGGUGUGCGCUAGUGUUGUAUGUUAAGAAAAAUAAUGGAUCAAUGCGAACGUGUAUAGAUUACCGGCAAUUGAACAAGGUUACGAUCAAGAAUAAGUAUCAUCUGUCGAGGAUUGAUGAUUUGUUUGAUCAGCUUCAGGGUGUCAAGGUAUUUUCAAAUAUUGACUUGAGAUCCGGCUACCAUCAGUUGAGGAUUAGGGAAUCCUCUGUCCCUAAGAUAGCGUUUUGCACUCGGUAUGGGAAUUAUGAGUUCUUGGUAAUGUCAUUCGGGUUGACAAAUACCCCGAAAACUUUUAUGGAUUUGAUGAACCGAGUGUUCAGGCCUUACUUGGAUUUGUUCAUGAUAGUAUUUAUUGACGAUAUUUUGAUCGAUUACCUCAAUCAGGAUGAGCACGAGCAGCAUCUUAGAGUGGUACUUCAGACUUUGAGGGGCAGUCAGUUGUACGCCAAGUUUUCGAAGUGAGAGUUCUGGUUGAGCUUAGUUGCAUUCCUGGGUCAUGUCAUAUCAGCAGAGGGUAUUUAGGUUGAUCCGAAGAAGAUUGAGGCAGUCAAGAACUGUCCUAGACCAUCAUUAGCUACAGAGAUUCGGAGUUUCUUGGGUUUGGCAGGCUACUAUCGUCGAUUUUUGGAGGGGUUUUCAUAUAUCGCAGCCCCGAUCACCAUGUUGACCUAGAAAGGUGACCGAUUUAGGGGUUCAAACGAGUGUGAGGCGAGCUUUCAGAAGCUCAAGAUAGCUUUGACUACGGCACCCGUAUUGGUUUUACCCACAGAUUCAGGGCCAUAUACAGUUUAUUGUGAUGCAUCUCGUAUUGGACUUGGUGCAGUGUUGAUGCAAGAUAGCAAGGUCGUUGCCCAUGUUUCGCAAAAAUUGAAGAUUCAUGAGAAAAAUUAUCCGGUUCAUGAUUUGGACUUAGCAGCCAUUGUUCACGCGUUGAAGAUUUGGAGGCAUUAUCUGUAUGCCGUGGCAUGUGAGGUGUUCACGGAUCACAAGAGUUUGCAGUAUCUGUUAAAGCAAAAGUAGUUGAAUUUGAGGCAGAGAAGGUGGUUGGAGCUAUUAAAAGACUAUUAUAUCACCAUCUCAUUUCAUCCGAAAAAGGCCAAUGUGGUGGCUGAUGCUUUAAGUAGGAAGUCAGCUAAUAUGGGCAGUCUUGCUUAUAUUCCGAUCAGUGAGAGAACACUUACUUUGGAUGUUCAUGAUUUGGACAAUCAGUUUGUGAGGUCGGAUGUUUCUAAGCUCAGUCGUGUUUUGGCUUGCACAGUCGCUCGUUCUUCACUGUUUUCACGGAUCACAAGAGUCUGCAGUAUUUGUUCAAGCAGAAGAUGUUGAACUUGAGACAGAGAAGGUAGUUGGAUCAAUUAAGGACUAUGAUAUCACCAUCUUAUAUCAUCCAGGCAAGGCCAAUGUGGUGGCCAUUGCUUUGAGUAGGAAGUCAGUUAAUAUGGGUAGUCUUACUUAUAUUCCGGUAGGUGAGAGACAACUUGUUUUGGAUGUUCAUGAUUUGGACAAUCAGUUCGUGAGGUUGGAUGUUUCAGAUUGCAACCACAUAUUUGCUUGCACGAUCGCUCGUUCUUCUUUAAUGGAACAUAUCCGAGAUUGGAAGUAUGAUGAUCCCCAUUUGUGUAUCCUUAGAGACACAGUGCAGCACGGAGGUGCCAAACAAGUUACCUUAGGUGAUGAUGGAGUUUUAAGAUUGCAGGUCAAGUUUGUGUGCCUAAUGUGAAUUGACUUUGAAAGUUGAUUUUAGAGGAGGCACAUAGCUCCCGGUACUCUAUUUAUCGGGGCGCUGCUAAGAUGUAUUAGGAUUUGCGACAGCAUUAUUGGUGGCAGAGAAUGAAGAAGGAUAUCAUUGCAUAAGUGGCUCUGUGUUUGAAUUUUCAGCAGGUUAAGUACGAGCAUUAGAGGCCUGGUGGUUUGUUCCAGAAGAUUGAGUUUCCUGAGUGGAAAUGGGAGCGGAUCACUAUGGACUUUGUUGUCCGACUCCCACAGACUCAGAGGAAGUUCGAUGCAGUGUGGGUUAUUGUUGAUAGGCUGACCAAGUCAGCGCAUUUCAUUCAUGUGGCAGUCUCAUAUUCUUCUGAGAGGUUAGUUGAGAUCUAUAUCCGGGAGAUUAAUCAUCUUCAUGGUGUGCUCGUGUUUAUUAUUUUGGACUGAGUUACGCUGUUUAUCUCACAUUAAUUGAGAGCAGUUCAACGAUAUUUGGGCACACGGGCUGAGUUGAGCACAACAUUUAAUCAUCAGACGAACAGGCAGUCUGAGCGGACUAUUCAAAUUUUAUAGGAUAUGCUCCGAGCUUGUGCUAUUGACUUUGGAGGCUCAUGGGAUCAGUUUUUGCCUUUAGCAGAGUUUGCCUACAACAACAACUACCAAUCAAGUAUUCAUAUGGAUCUUUAUGAGGCUUUAUAUGGUAGGUGGUAUCGGUCUCCGUUUGGAUAGUUUGAGCCGGGAGAGGCUCGGUUGUUGGGUACGGAUCUGGUUCGGGAUGCCUUGGACAAAGUUAGGAUUAUUUAGGACAGGCUUCGUAUAUUUUCGGUCCAGGCAAAAGAGCUAUGCCGACUGCAAGGUUCGAGAUUUGGCUUUCAUGGUCGGUGAGCAGGCAUUGCUUCAAAUGUCUCAUAUGAAGGGCGUGAUGAUAUUUGGGAAGAAGGGCAAGCUUAGCCCUAGGUUCAUUGGCUCGUUUGAAAUUCUUGAUUGAGUGAGAGCGGGGCUUACAGACUUGCAUUGCCGCCGAGCUUAGCGGUCAUGCAUCCAGUGUUUCAUGUGUCCAUGCUUUGGAAAUAUCACAGUGAUCCAUACCACGUGUUAGAUUUCAGCACUGUCAAAUUGGACAAGGACUUGCCUUACGAGGAGGAGUCGCUAGCUAUUCUAGACUAGCAAGUUCGUCAGUUGAGAUCGAAAAGUUUUCCUUCAGGUCGUGUUCAGUGGAGAGGUCAGCCUGUUGAGGCAUCGACCUGGGAGUCCGAGUCUGAUAUGUGGAGCCUUUAUCCCCAUCUUUUCCCUGACUCAGGUACUUCCUUCUUAUAUUUGCUCGAGAAUAAAUGAUUGUUUUAGAGGUGGAGAAUGUGAAACGAAUUCUGCAUUCUGAGGCCUUAUAAACCUCUUUUAGCAUCACCUUGAUUUGCGUUCACAAUCCAGGCACGUAGCCAAAAAGCUAUUAUGUGAAAACCUAUGAAAAAUGUUAUAAUUUUAAUUUAAAAUGCAUUUAAGUUCACUUCGGCCAAUAUUUUAGGUAAACGGACCCUGACCUGUGAUUUGAUAGUUCCGGAGGGUCCGCAGAAAAAUAUGGGACUUCGGCUUAUUCCCAGAAUUGAAUUCCGAGGUCCCAAGUCCGAGAAAUAAGUUUUUAAAGAAAAUUGUUUUUUAGAAAUUUUUAUGAGUUUUGGAAAUGAAAUACAUUUAAAAUUUGAUGGUAUUGGGCCCAUAUUCUGUUUUGGAGAUCGGUACAGAUUUUAUAUGUGAAAUAAGAUAAGUUUGUGAAAUUUGGUAAGAAACGUGAGUCAUUUGAGGUGAUCCGGGCCCGUAGUUGUGAAAAUUCCUACUUUGAAAGUUUUGAGAUUUUUUUUAGAUUUCUAUGCUAAACUUGUUGUUUAAGAGGUUAUUUUGGCAAUUUGAUCACACGAAUAAGUUUAUAUGAUGUUUUUCAGUUAGUACGUAUGUUUGGUUUGGAGCCCGAGGGCUCGAGUGAGUUUCGAAAAGUUUUGGACUUGGAAAAAGUUGCAGACUUUUGAUGUUCAGUGCAUAGGGUUUUUGUUCUUUACGUUCGCAUGGGCCCACUCGCGAACGCGUAAGGCAAAUUCCCCAGGUACCAGUUUUCUUCUUCACGAACACUAAGCCUGAGACGCAAAUGCGAGGCUGAGAGGGGAGUGCCUUCACGAACGCACCCAGGCACUCGCGAACACAUAGACUAAUUACCUGGGUUAGGGGUUCACCUUUUUGUUCUAUGCGAAGGCGGCCAUUGGCCCGCGAACGAGAAGGCUCGAGGAGCCAAAGCUCCGUGAACGGUAUCCUGGGACCGCGAACGCAAAGGUCACCUAAGUUGGACUCAUAGCGAACACGAUGAAGGCCUGUCCAGUGAUUUUAAAAUUGAAACCAUAACCGAACUUAAUCAAAAUUUCAUAACUUCUUCUUCCAAACUCCAAAUUGGGCAAUUUUUUAAAGAGAAUUUUACUACAAAUCCAUAGGUAUGUAAUCUUAGACUCGAUUUCUUCAAUUUCCAUUAACACCUAUUAGAUUUCUAGGCUUAAAUCAUGUUCUGAAGCGUAGAAAAUUAGGGAUUUGGGUAGAGUUAUGGCUUUGUAUAUUUGGGAUUUAGACCUCAUUUUGGGGUCGAAUUUUGGAAAUAAUUAUAUAUUCGAGCUCGUGGGUGAAUGGGUGAUCGGGUUUUGGUCCGAACCUUGCGUUUUGACCAAGCGGGCCCUUGUCCAAUUUUUGACCUUUUGGGAAGAAUGAUAGGAAAUCUAAAAUUAAGCAUUGGAAUUGGAUUGUUUAGAGUGUAUUGAUGUUAUUAAAUCAAUUAUGUCUAGAUACAAUUGAUUUGGAGCCAAAUUCAAAAGGAAAAGCGGUUUCUGAGGCUUGAGUUGGCCAUGGAAGUUCGAGGUAAGUGUUCAGUCUAACCCUAGCUUGAGGGAUUAGGAGUUGUGUCCUAUUUUCUGCAUGUUACUUGUCGAGUACGACGUAUAGGCAUGGUGGCGAGUAUCUAUACGUUGGUUUCAAGCAUGACCGUGAGUCUUAAAUUGAUAUUAUCGUGUUCUUAAAUAAUACUACAGAUGCUUAAGUUGAUGAUUCUCUGUAUUGAGCAAGGAUUAUGAUUAUUCUCGUGGAAAUUACUUAUAAUUGGGCAUUGGUGUUAGUUGAGGUAGUUAGAUGUUGGAACAAGUUUGGCUAUAGCUGUUUUUCCCUUGCCAGGAUGUAAUUACUUAUACUGUCGAUUACCUUGCCGAGAUAGCGUUGUUUCUUCAUUGAUCCUUUGUUGGGACUCUAUUUGUAAAUUAUAUUUGAACAUAUAUAUGCAUCGGGUUGUGCGCCGCAACAAUGAUAUAAAUGGAUCAGGUUGCACACCCCAACAGUGAUAUAAAUGGAUUGGAUUGAACGCCAUAACAAUGAUAUAAUUGGAUCAGGUUGCACGUUGCAACAGUGAUAUAAGUAGGUCGAGUUGCACGCUGCAACAGUGAUAUAAAUGGAUCGGGUUACACGCUACAACAAUGAUAUCGUUGGAUCGGGUUGCACGCCGCAACAGUGGUAAAUGAUAGGGAUCAGGUUGCACGCUGCAACAGUAUUAUUAUUAUCUGUUUUGUUGUAAAUCCUAAAUUGUUCUCAUGUAUUUCUUUUAAUUACUAUUGUAUUGAUAUUCACCACAACAUGUACCCCCUCCUAACUUUACUUGCUUAUUUAUGUGUUAUUUUCCGCUGCAUAUUAUAUAUUGCACAGGUUUAUUUGGAGUCUAGUCCUAGCCUCGUCAUUACUUCGUCGGGGUUAGACCAAGCACUUAUCAGCACAUAGGGUCAAUUGUGUUGAUACUACACUCUACACUAUAUGCCGAUCCCAUAGCGGAAACUUUUGGACAGUAGCAUUGGGUGGUUGCCUUCAGUCCAGCUAGAGAUCCCGAGGUAGUCUUGCAAGCGUCCGGAGGAUCGGGGUUCUCUUCUAUCUUUAGUUGUAUAUUCUUUUCAUCUAUUUAUGAGACAAACACUACUUUUCUUUCAGACAUUUGUAUGUAGUAUCGUAGAUAGUCCGUGAUAUUAUGACAUCAGAUUUCGGGUAGAGAUGUAUGUUGGCGUAGUUGUACUGCUUAUGGUUAUUUUGCCAGAUUAAGUCUUUCGCUUGUUCUUAUUUAUCUUUAAUGAUUCACUGUUGAUUCAUGUUACUUUAAAUUGUUAAAAAGGGGUAAUAAAUGAGUUAGAGAUUUUACAAUGUGCGGCUUGCCUAUCUUUCACGAAUAGGCACCAUCACGACUCUCGAGGGUGGAAAAUCCAGACCGUUACACUGUGGAAGCCAUUCACCUUCUAAGGAGAAUGGUAGAGCAGUAUAGGGAGAGGAAGAGAGACUUACAUAUGAUGUUCAUUGAUCUAGAGAAAGCAUACGACAAUGUCCCAAUGGAGAUCCUAUGGAGGUGUUUAGAGGGUAAGGGCGUUUUGGUGGCUUACACUAGGGUGAUUAAGGAUAUGUAUGAUAGAACCAAGCCACGAGUGAGGACCAUGGGAUNNNNNNNNNNNNNNNNNNNNNNNNNNNNNNNNNNNNNNNNNNNNNNNNNNNNNNNNNNNNNNNNNNNNNNNNNNNNNNNNNNNNNNNNNNNNNNNNNNNNNNNNNNNNNNNNNNNNNNNNNNNNNNNNNNNNNNNNNNNNNNNNNNNNNNNNNNNNNNNNNNNNNNNNNNNNNNNNNNNNNNNNNNNNNNNNNNNNNNNNNNNNNNNNNNNNNNNNNNNNNNNNNNNNNNNNNNNNNNNNNNNNNNNNNNNNNNNNNNNNNNNNNNNNNNNNNNNNNNNNNNNNNNNNNNNNNNNNNNNNNNNNNNNNNNNNNNNNNNNNNNNNNNNNNNNNNNNNNNNNNNNNNNNNNNNNNNNNNNNNNNNNNNNNNNNNNNNNNNNNNNNNNNNNNNNNNNNNNNNNNNNNNNNNNNNNNNNNNNNNNNNNNNNNNNNNNNNNNNNNNNNNNNNNNNNNNNNNNNGGGGGGGGGGGGGAUUCAGGCCACUUUCCAGUUGUGACGGGGUUGCACCAAGGGUCGGCUCUUAACCCAUUCUUAUUUACCUUGACAUUUGACACAUUGACGAACCACAUUCAAGUGGGGCUUUGGUGUAUAUUAUUUGCGGAUGAUAUUGUUGUGAUUGACGAGACGCGAGGCGGAGUUAAUACGAGAUUGGAGGUUUAAAGACAAACCUUGGAGUCCAAAGGUUUCAAGUUGAGUAGGACCAAGAUCGAGUACUUGGAGUGCAAGUUCAGUGACGAAACUGAGGGUGCAAAUAUGGAAGUGAGACUUGAUACACAAGUCAUCCAUAAGAGAGUUUGUUUCAAGUACCUUGGGUCUUUUAUCCUAGUGAGAUUGAUGAGGAUUUUACUCAUCGCAUUGGAGCGGAGUGGAUGAAAUAAAGACUCGCAUCCGGUAUUUUAUGUUAUAAGAAUAUGCCACCUAAACUUAAGGUUAAAUUUUACAUAGUGAUUAUUAGACCUAACAUGUUGUACGGAACAUAGUAUUAGCCAAUCAAGAACUCUCAUUUCGAGAAGAUGAAGGUAAUGGAAAUGAUGAUGUUGAGAUGGAUGUGCGGACAUACCAUGAUUGAUAAGAUUAGAAAUGAAGCUAUUCGGGACAAGGUAGGAGUAGCCUCGAUGGAGGACAAGAUGCGAGAAGCGAGGCUUAGGUGGUUUGGGCAUGUGAAGAGGAGAAGCACACAUGCUCCAGUGACGAUGUGUGAGAAGUUAGCCUUAGGUGGUUUGAAGAGGGGUAGAGGUAGGCCAAAGAAGUAUUGGGGAGAGGUUAUUAUGCAGGACUUGGCGUUGCUUCACCACUGAUGAUAUGACCCUUGAUAGGAAGGUGUGGAGGUCGAGGAAUAGGGUAGAAGGUUAGUAGGUAGUCGAGUGUGUGUCUUCCCCAUACUGGUAGUAGUAGUUAGUCAGCCUUGGUUACUACAUAUUUCCUUAUUAUAUUGUUGUAAUGUCUGCUCUCUUAUUAUCCGUUUAUGGUUACUGCUUAUUUCUUAUUAUUUUAUUAUUGGUAUUAUUGUUGUUACUGCUUUCUUUUUCUUUCCUUGAGCCAUUGGUCUAUAGGAAAUAGACUUUUUACCCCACAUGGGUAGGGGUAAGGUCUACACAUUAUCCUUCCCAAACCUCAUUCGUAGGAUUAUACUGAGUUUGUUGUGGUUGUUAUUGUUGCUCCAUUUCAAUUAUCUACGGACAGCCACAUAAAACAAAAUAAUAAGACAUUGAAACAAUUCUUAUUUUACUCUCCUCCGUUGCUGCCAAAGGCAGUUGGCUGGCCACCAAAUAUUUAGUCGUCGCUGCCGAAAGCCGAAACCGGCAAUCUCCCUCUCCCUCUUUUUCUUCUUUUAUUUUUUCACAAGUUAGUAUUCCUUCCACUUCAUAAUAAGUGGUCAGUUACUUUUUCAUUUUUGUUCAAAAUAAGUAUUUAGCUAUAUAAUCAAGAAAAAGUUCAAUUUGUUUUACUCUUUUACCCUUAUGUACAUAUUCCUAAAUAGUUUUCUCACUCCUCACUAUAACUAUGUGCCCAAUAUUUAAUAAGGGUAAUUUAGUCAUACUAAAUAUCUUUGUAUAGGAUUUAGCAUUUUCUUAAUGGAUGUGCUAAAAGGAAAAUGAUCACUUAUUGUGAAUUGGAGGAAAUAUAUCCAAAAGGAAAUAUUAGAUUUGAGUGUUUCUCAGAUUUUAGUAUAUGUUAUACCUUGCCGCUGAAUUAAAUAGAACAAAACACACAUUAUGGCUGGAUUUUUUGUUCGUCUGCCCGAAUUUUGGUUGGUACAUUGUGAUUGUGUAUUAUAUGGUUGGAUUUUUGUUCGCCCUUAUUUCUUAGUUUUAAUAUAAUAUAUACGUUGUUUUGCUAGGCUAGAGACGCCAUUUUCGACGAAUUUUCUUUCUCUUCUUUGAAAUUGAGUCACAUAUAAUGAUAUAAGUACAUUCAAAUUUGAGUGUUUUCUAUAUUUUUCAAUGCAAAUACAAUUUUUUUUUGUAUUUUUGCCUAUAUUUAUGUGCUCCGGAGGUUAUUCUUUGUGGCAAAUCCCUGUAUUUUUUGGAUUUUUGUUAUUUGAAUACAUCCUAAAUACAGUAAAUUGACAGUGUAAAAGCAUCCACGAAUGAAUACAGAGUAUUUAAUACAGAAGAAUAUCGCCAUUUUUGUGAUUGUCGUUUGAAUACAAUCGAAUUGAAUACAAUGAAAUUGAAUGUAUAGCCGAAUUAAAUACAGUGAAUACAGUCGAAUUGAAUAGAGCGAUAUACACCCUAUUUUUUGAUUUUUUGUUAUUUGAAUACAACUGAAUUCAAUACAGUAAAAUUGAAUACAAUAUAAAAUAUAUAAAAAUAAAUAUAGCCGAAUAAAAUGCAGAGUAUACAACUGAAUUAAAUACAACAACACACAUCCCAUGUCAAAUAAUUAGUAGCUACGGAAUGUAAUUAGCUAACUACGUCCAUUAAUAACCCUCCCAACAAUACUCAUUUAUGAAAGCUUCCCACUCAAAAUCAAAGAUAAAAUUCUCUCUCCAUUAUUCUGACAGUUUUAACUUUAAGCUACACGCUAGGUAAUUUAUCUUAUUUAAUUUAGCAUUAGUUGCAAGAGUAACUCAGCAUAGAUGCUGGUAGAAGGUUGUAAGUACCAAUAGUUGAAGUGCACACAUAAGUUGGUUCCGACACCUCCAUUAUCAAUGAAAAAGAAAGAAACUUUAAACUACUUUAAAAUGUCAAGUUAUGUGUGGAAAACAUUAAGAUACAAGUUUAUAUUUUAAGUAUACAGGAGUUGUGCAUAAUCAACUUAUUUUCAAUGUUACAGGAACAAAAGAAAAGAAAAGACAAACAUGUCAACAACUACAUUUAACUGAUUCAUACCCUUAAGUUUCAGAUAGAAUGUACGGAACAAAACUGCCACUAAAUAUGAGAUGGUCCCUCAAAUAGUUGACCUUUUGGAAAGCAUUUUUCAAAUUCUUCCAGAAAUGAACAACACAUCUGAAGUUCACAUGUGAGAUGAAAAAUGGUACUUACAAUGCGAAGUAUUACACUACUUACUCAUCUCCAGCUUUCAUUUUUCAAUUGACCAUCUUGACAAUUCAAACCAUGUACACAUUUCUUUAUUCUGUGGUUUGUCAAAAUUCGUGCAACACUCUUCAAUAAAAAUUUAAUGAAUUAAUUUAUGAAGUACGCAUUUAGCAGAGCCAAUCAUCUAUUUAGUGGAUCUUCAUCUUGGUAUUGAUCUCUUUAAAGAGAGCUUUCAAACAACUUCACCGGUCAUUCCCUUUUACCCUCUUGAAUAUCAUCUUCUACAUCUGAACUGUCGCUACCUUCCUUACUAUCCAUUUUGAUAAGACUGAUGUCACCUUUUGGAGUUUCUUUGCAUAAGGAUUCAGUUUCUUCGUCGUCCUCUUCACCCCUCACAUCAGAGUAGGCAUAACUAGAAUGAAAACUUCAUGUGUCAGUCAAAAGCAAUAAAUGGUAAAGGUUGAAGGGUAGAAGAAUCCAGAAAACUGAAUCUUAAAAACACUCUAAAACAUUUCGCAUCUAGUUAAAAUGUCUGACUGUAAUUUGAGAAAAGAAAUUUUCUGCCUUCCAACAACAUGCAAAACUAGCUUUCCCUGUAUUGUUACCCUAAUGAAUUGCCACAGUUUAAAAGUAACUUUUGAGAAAUGGUAAGGUUAAGAGAUUGGUAUUGUCAGGAAAAACAUGGAGCAGGUGCGAGCUUUUGGAUAUAGGUGUUGAAGGCAUAAUUAAGUACUCUCUAACAGCUUAAGCGUUCAGAUGAAUGGUCACACUUUAACAUAGUACAGAGCAGGCAGAGAGAUCCUGGGUUCGAGUCUUACCGCCACCCAACAUCAAAAAGAAUUUCCACGUGCAUGGCUCAUCAAAAAGAAUCAAGCCCGCACGUGAGGGGCAUGUCGAAGACAUAAUUAAGUAAAUAAAAGUGUGUUCUCUGACAGCUUAAGCUUUUAGAUGAGAUGGUCACAUAUAGGGGUGGCAAAAUGGAUCAAAGAAACAAUUAAUUACCCAUAUUAUCCACUAAAAAAUUGGUUGGAUAAUGAACUUUUUAAAAACAAGUCAAAUAUGGAUAAGAACCAUAUUAUCCAUUUAGAAAAUAGAUAACCAAUGAGUAACCAAUAGAUAACCCAAUGAGUCUAAUUUUUACAUUUGUAAAGCCUCAAAUUGGGGUUUCCUCAAGUUAGGGAGACUGAGAAUUCUCCCAAAAGUGAUCAUAUACAAGAAGUCAUGGAUAAUACGCUAGUUAACACAUUCUUUAUCCAUAUUAAACAUGGGUCGGGUCGGAUAAUUGAUCCGUUUUUACUACUCGUUUACGACCCGAACCAUAUCCGACUCAACCCGCCCGUUUGCCCCUCCUAGUCACACACUUCAACAAUAGGAUGCAUUCUCUUUUUCAAAAGAAUACAUUCAAUCUUUCAGGCAAUAAAUAUCUAACCAUAUUUUCUCUUCCUUCACCAAAUGCUUUACUUGAUUACGCAAGAUAAAGACCAAAGGCUACUUAUGAUUGUUCCAGAAUACCUACCGUUGUGAACUCUGAGAUGGUGCCCAUAGGUAGCAAAUGACACACAGCAGUCCAAAUGCAAGAAUAUCCCAGAAAGCAGUAAUGAUCCAAGCUCCCUGCCACCUCUCAUUGAAGGGAUCUGUUGCUUUGAAGUAAACCUGCACGAAAGGAACUAGAUGAAGUAAGAUUUUGCAGGUUGCAAGAAUCCCUACAACAUUCAUCCAGAAUUAAAGAGAAGGCCGUCAACAUUCAGCAUAUUAUUCAGAAUACUUGGAUAUGAUGAUGGGGAAAAAUGAAAGAGAAUAUAACAACCAAAUGGAACUGGUAACAUAAGUAAAGCUUCUUCUAAAACGAAUUCCAUCUCCCAGGCGAUUACUGGUGCCAUAGAUCAAACAAAUUGGUACAUCUUUUCUAUUGAUACAGUAAAUCCGAACACAUAAAGCCCCCAUUUAUCCAGUUGCCAACAGUGGCUUUUCCACGUGGAGAAUCAAACCCCCAAUCUCAGGGUUGUAAGUGGUGGGGUUUUUCCCAACUAGGCUAUCCCUCUCUUGUCAACUGGCCAUAGAAGGAGGCUUCAAAGAGAAGGUCUGACAGAAUGACGAGUUUCCCUCAAUGAAGAAGAAUAGCAACCACAAGGGCAUACACUACUUACAGCUUACUUGGUAAUGCAUCUUUAAUGAGCAAAUUGUAGUGCAAAUUAAUAAGGGACUUCCAAUUAGCUGGCUGACAGAAGAAAUACUAUGGAAACAACAUUACCAAAUCCCCUUAAAAUAAAAAUUACUGAGAACCCCCCUUUAGAAUUAAUUACUAUGUUAAAGUUGCAUAGCUCAUAGUAAACAGGUAAAAUAGAGGAGAGCGACAACGAGACAAUAAUGAAAUCUUUGGUUACUUCUAAUUCAAUACUCUCUGGCUAUCAAAAGAUAAGAAGUCUUAGUAAUUCAGGUGAAAUAUGUUAGCUCUAUUGACUACUAUUGAUUUUACGUCUCUUGGAAUUCUUCAGAUGACAGCCUCGCAGCGCCAAACAAACUGACCCUACCCAAGCCUUCUCCAGGCAAAAUCACAGCCAACUGAGCCCGAUUGUAGCAUGUUUUAAUCAAAACAACAGGAUCAUAUUUUUCCGUAUAAGAGAUUUCUAGCUUCUCCUUUUUGCUUCGCUAAAUUAGUUAGCCUAGAAUGCCCGAAAUCACAUUCUAAGUGCACCAUCCCUAUGAGAAAUUAUGACUUGAGUAUCUUCCAGAGACAAGUCAACGAUUGUUCACUUAUCUGAAACAAUUUAUUCGUCUCUUAGGUGGCACUAAGUUGAAAGCACAAGAGAUUUGUUAAAGAGGGGUUCCUGUGUUAUAUAAUUUUUUAAAUAAUUUUCAGCAACUACCCGAUAGUAACCACACAGUUCAAAUUUCAGUGGUGCGUUGAUUUAUGAUGAAGUUUGCCACCAUCUCAUCUAAAUGAUCAAGCUGAUACAGAGAACACACCUUUAUUUACUUAAUUAUGUCUUCAACUCCCCACGCCCCGCCCUGCCCCCAACACCCUGCGUAGCAUGUGAAGUGUUUUUGAUAAUAGGUGGUGGUGAGAUGCAAACUCAGGACCUCUGCCUACUUUGAUAAUUGAUACUAUGAUAAAAAAUUGACUUUGGGUCAAACUCAACCCCAAAAUGUAGAUCAUGAGGUGAAAAAUUACCCAAGACUAUAAAAGGAGACGGAAUCCACAUUCCACAACUGAUGUAGGGGAACUCACCCCCCCCCCCCCCCCCNNNNNNNNNNNNNNNNNNNNNNNNNNNNNNNNNNNNNNNNNNNNNNNNNNNNNNNNNNNNNNNNNNNNNNNNNNNNNNNNNNNNNNNNNNNNNNNNNNNNNNNNNNNNNNNNNNNNNNNNNNNNNNNNNNNNNNNNNNNNNNNNNNNNNNNNNNNNNNNNNNNNNNNNNNNNNNNNNNNNNNNNNNNNNNNNNNNNNNNNNNNNNNNNNNNNNNNNNNNNNNNNNNNNNNNNNNNNNNNNNNNNNNNNNNNNNNNNNNNNNNNNNNNNNNNNNNNNNNNNNNNNNNNNNNNNNNNNNNNNNNNNNNNNNNNNNNNNNNNNNNNNNNNNNNNNNCCCUCCCCUUUUCAGCUCACCCAACCUUCCAAUUGGAGCAUGGACAACAUAAUAUGCGGGCCGAAUAUCACAUAACCAAGAAUUGUGAUGGGCCUAGCUCUGAUCUAUGUUGGAGUUAUGACCAUCUCAUCUAAAAACAUAAACUUUCAGAGAGAGCAUAUUUUUAUUUACUUAAUUAUGUCUUCAACAGUUUAUAUUUCUAGAUGGAUUAUCAGCGAUGUGUUAUUGGAAUGUAAUAUUUGUUCAAUUUCAUGAGGUCUUUUCCUCAAACAUAUACAUCAUUCAACAGAUGCCAGAAACAGAAACAGCAUUUGCAUAGACGAGAAAACUUUUACGACUUCUUUGUGCUCAAUUUUGGAUAAGGAAUGAAACUAGAGGAUGCACAGACACUGACGCAGCGCAAGGAGUUUGCUCCUGCUGUAUUUUUAACUCACAGAAUAAGCAGAGAAGAAAUGAAUGAGUCUUAAGAGUUAUUAAUUUAUUUAUUUAAAAAGUCACAAGAGAUAUGUCGUUAAUAUUUUGAUUUCACGAAAAAUAUCAAUUUGAUAUUUUCAGGAAAUCACAGCAGAGAAGGUUACAAGAGAAGUGUCAUUAAUAUUCUUCUCAAUUUCAUGAAAGUACUGACUUGAUGAUUUCAGGAGGUCACAGCAGAGAAGCAGUAGUCUGAUCAGUCAGGAGUAAGAACAAUCUCUAAGGUUUUUUUAGCAUUAACCAUACACUUCAUUUAUUACUUAAAUAUAAAAUCAUCCCCUGACAAAGAGAAACAUUGAUGAGUGUUAUGAUAUCACAUAUUUCUAGUGAAUGAGAUCCCACCCUAAAGGUAUGCACUCUUUUUGGUACUUUUCACAAAAUCAUUUGUCCUUUUUCUUAACAGUAUCACACCAACCUCUUUAGUCGCAAAACUACUAAAUGGUAGGUUUUGACAUGUAAAAAUUUCCCAAAGAAAAGAAGGGUCAGUAUUUCACUACCCAAUAAAAACAAAUUUCAUUCUCCGUAACUAAUAGCAUCUCAAAAGUUAAACCAUGUCUUCUAUCUCUUUUCUCCCAAUGGGAUCUUGAAUGCAGUGAAGGGUAAUCACGGAGAGAACAGAUGAUGAUCUGGGUAGAUGUGGUGAAACUAGUUUUCUGGGGUAGUAUUUCCACAUUAAUCUUGCCAACAUUUUGAGCAGAUAUAUAACAUAUUGCUGGUUUUGCAAGCUUAUGGGAAAAUGGAAUGAAAAAUGAGAAUAGGAAGCAAAAGUGCAGCGGGUGUAAAUAUUUGGGUUGAAGAAUGCAGAAAACUCUAAGAGAAUUCAGUAGAUGUUUUUUUCCCUAAGUAGUAAUAUCUUCAGGAACUUUUUAAAAUACUUUUCCUUAUUUUGUGAUAGUAGUUUAUUUGCAGUAAGACAUUUAGCGACCCUUUUAAGCAAGGAAAACACAAUAGAGCCAAUUUCUAUACCCAUUAAACUCCUCAUCCAUGAUGCAGUUGACCGCACCUCAAUCCAUGAAAGUCUUUCAAGGUAUAUAUAUGCACAUGUCAAGCCACUUGAAAGCAUUAAGAAACAAGUUUACCAAAUUGUGACAAGUUACUCUUCAGAAAAGACAAACAAAUUGCGGAACAAGCCUCAUGGAGAUCAAAAUUAACCAGACCCUAUUGAUUUAACUUAUAAAGUUCAUGCAUCAAAUACAAACCUCGUAUCCUAUCCAUGCAACUGAAGCAAUGACAGUGAUUGCUAAUGCAUUUGAAAAUUGUCUGUAAAUAUCCAACUUCACAGAACUCCUCUUUGCCUGACGAAAACAAAAUCUUGUGACAAUCAAAUAUUUUAUGAGAAAAAGGAGAUGAGACAAAUGUAAAAUGUAUUUGUACACAAAUUCAAUACAAACAGUAUGAUGAUACCUGCAGCUGCUCCAGUGUCUUGGAAAGAGAAGUGAAAAUCCAUAAGAUCAAAAAUGCAUCUAACAAUGCAUCAGGAAGGACCAACAGGACUCUUGCUCGCCCUGCAAUGUCAUUUAUUGUACCAACGUAUUCGGUAAUGUUUAGCAGUAUAGAUGCCACAAAAUAAGUUAUUCCAAGAAGGAGCACCUUUGUGGUGAGACCACCAAGGGUAGGACGAACAACACCAUAACCCAUUGAGAUAGAAAGAAUAAGAAGGCGUGAAAAAGUUCUCCUUAUAGCUCCAAUUAUAACAACCCAAGUCGUGAGUCCCACAGGCCUUGUACCAGUAUUGUUGAAAUAAGCAUAAUCAAAGUACCAAAAUAUCAUCUCCAAUAACCCAAGGGCAAUAACCCCAGUGAUGCAGUAUUGGAGCGGCAGAACGUCCUGCCAGUAUCUGACAUACUGAAGACACCAGAUUCCAGCAAGAAGUAUAUAUGCUACGGUCAUUAUAGCAUAAAACUUCAUUAGGGGUGACAUUCGACCAGGCAAAUAUCCCUCGGGAUUUUUCCACACUGUCCUUCCAGACACCUUCAUUCCCUUAAGCUUAGGAUCACAUGAGAUGAAGAAGAGGUUAUACAUCCCAGUCUUUUUUAUGUAAACCUCCUCCUUCUUCAAUUGGGCUGACAACUGCCUUCCUCUAAAGUUAACAUUCAACACCAUCGGCCAAUUAGCAUCUGUUGCUGAAGGUGUUCUAAUGACUUCCCCUUGUUUGCAACCUUCAAGUUUAGCAAGAUCAGUGGUGCAACAAAUGGACCUUUGUCCACCAUAUGGUGAACCACCAAUAUUGUCACGGUCUGCAGCCUCAAAUAUUAUGAUCUGAACUAACCCACUAUUAUAUGCCAUAGUUGGAUUUCGGUUUGCAGCUGCUUUGCUCCUCCAAAAUGUGAUAUUAUCAAACCUGUAUAUGUUCAAAUUAUCAGAUACUAAUGCAAUGGGUUACAAACAAUGUCACUGAGCCAAGAAAAAGCUAACAGUGAUAACUGUGGCUUGUUUUAUUUUUCCCACAAUCUAAUCACAGAAAGCUGGUGCAAUUCACUAUGUUCAGCUUGCUCUCGACAUGUAUUUUAGAAAAACCAUUCUACUGUAUUGUAUCAUAUUUCCCGUUGACAGCAUCGCUUUCACACUCAAGCCAUUAUAUUAGGCAUGCAUUACAAAUAUAGCACUGAUCAAUCCAGCCAAACAACUUCAAUAACUAGCCCAUAGCUAACUUUAAAAUAAGAUACUCCCUGUGUCCCAUUUUAUAAGGCACUCCUACUAUUUAGGAACCAAACAAUUUCUACAUUUGAUUAUGAUGUUUUAGACAUUUCUAAAUAUUUUAACUAUAGAGAUUUGUGAUUAUAGAGAUCUGUGAUUUCUAGUACUUUUAAAUAGCUUCUAGUUAGUGAUUUUUUUUGGUGUGCGGGGGAAUUAACGUCUGAAUUCACACCAAAAAUGUGUAUGCCUUGACUCUUGUACAUUUUUUAAGGACUCUCAUACUCCUUUUCAUGUCAUUCUUUUCUGGACAGAGGGAAUAGCUAAUUUGCUCAAACUAUUUAGAAUUAACUCUAAACUUGACUCAA
rnacentral:lncRNA from 1 species